rnacentral:lncRNA from 1 species
UCCUCUCUCUUUCUCACCUGUCUCUCUCACAGAGAAAAAUAUGGUCCCUAUCUCCUCUCUCUUUCUCACCCUGUCUCUCUCACAGAGAAAAAUAUGGCCUUUUUGCUUGGCAGCCUAUACUCCUCACAGCUCUCAUGUGUCUUUGGUGUCGGAGAAAAGCUCUCUGCUGCCCUCUGCUGCUGCCUCAGGAUAUUACAAGCUGCACACUCAGAUGUUGCCAUGCUUGUUCUCCUGCUCCAUGAAGCAGCUGUUCUCCUCCGUCACAUUUAUAACAAACCUGUCCAUUCACAAGGGUGCAGUUUUCAAAUGCCACAUCUCAUUUAAGGGCAAAGACAAGCUUGUGGCCAAGAGAGUUUCCGACAAGUUUAUUAUUCAAGCACCAACCUGAAGUUUCAUUGAUCCAGUUCUCAGAGUCAAAUGAGGAAGGAGGUGCAGUAUGACAAACAGUGCACACAUUAAAAUAGUGCAAACGAUGUAAAUGCAUCAUUACAGAAGGUUUUCUCUCCCCAGGCGUUGUGACCAUGAUGGCCCAGGCCUCUGGCUUUCAUCCGGACAUCACCACCUUCCGCUGGUUCUGUGAGAGCAGCGAGCUGAGCCCCGUGUCUGUCCCGCAGUCUGUCUGGCGGCCCCUCGGCCAGAUGCUGCAGGCUUCUUCUCGGCCCUGAGCCAGUGCAGGCCCCCGCCGCAGAGCUGGAGCGAGGGAAGAGCCAGGUGUGGGUCACUGUCCACCACACGGCCCUCAAACAGCGCCUCACACACCAGACUAGAGGUGACAUAACUGAGCACUUGGGAUUCAGAUAAAGACAGUGUUUAGAAUGGAGUGCAUCAGUGGUCUUGGUGCUGGAGGUAUUUUUCCAUUUGUUUUUCCCAUAGGAAUUUUUAUAAAGUCUUCAUUAGAACAUUAUAAGUAAUGAACCAAACCAGCUACUAGGAAAAUCACAACAUUAAAAAAACUUUGAUUUGAAGCAAAGAAAAGUAUUUGAUAAUUGGACAAAAAUACAAAGGUAGAAGACUGUGAACUUAACAGCUUUAUAGAGGGAAAGAACUGCAAUCCCAUGACAUUUACAUUUAAUCAUUUAGGAUGGACGUACCAUAGAAGCAAUCAUAUCAACAAGAAAGCAACAAUAUAUAAGUGCUGUGAUAAAAGUACUUAUAGUACAAGUAGCAAUGUUUUUUUUUUUAAAUAAUAAUAAAAAAGUAGAAAAAGUAGAUGGAAUAGAAAUAAAACAGAGAGAGCUAAUGUUAAAGGGUUAAUUUAUUAUUAUUUGUUUUAUAAUAAUUAAAAAGAAAACAAGUGGAUAGAAUUGAAAAACAAAUGGAGAGUGCUAGUGUUAGAGGGUCAAGUUUUUUAAUAUAUAAUCAAUAAUGGGGAAGUCGUGGCCUAAUGGUUAGAGAGUCGGACUUGCAAUCCAAGGGUUGUGAGUUCGAGUCUCGGGCCGGCAGGAAUUGUAGGUGGGGGGAGUGAAUGUACAGUUCUCUCUCCACCUUCAAUACCAUGACUGAGGUGCCCUUGAGCAAGGCAUCGAACCCCCAACUGCUCCCCGGGUGCCGCA